rnacentral:rRNA from 1 species
AGUGAACGCUGGCGGUAGGCCUAACACAUGCAAGUCGAACGGCAGCACAGUAAGAGCUUGCUCUUACGGGUGGCGAGUGGCGGACGGGUGAGGAAUGCAUCGGAAUCUACUUUUUCGUGGGGGAUAACGUAGGGAAACUUACGCUAAUACCGCAUACGACCUACGGGUGAAAGCAGGGGAUCUUCGGACCUUGCGCGAUUGAAUGAGCCGAUGUCGGAUUAGCUAGUUGGCGGGGUAAAGGCCCACCAAGGCGACGAUCCGUAGCUGGUCUGAGAGGAUGAUCAGCCACACUGGAACUGAGACACGGUCCAGACUCCUACGGGAGGCAGCAGUGGGGAAUAUUGGACAAUGGGCGCAAGCCUGAUCCAGCCAUACCGCGGGGGUGAAGAAGGCCUUCGGGUUGUAAAGCCCUUUUGUUGGGAAAGAAAAGCAGCAGGUUAAUACCCCGCUGUUCUGACGGUACCCAAAGAAUAAGCACCGGCUAACUUCGUG